rnacentral:misc_RNA from 1 species
GAUGAAGAACGCAGCGAAAUGCGAUAAGUAAUGUGAAUUGCAGAAUUCAGUGAAUCAUCGAAUCUUUGAACGCACAUUGCGCCCGCUGGUAUUCCGGCGGGCAUGCCUGUUCGAGCGUCAUUUCAACCCUCAAGCUCUCCGGAGUUUGGUGUUGGGCGUCUGUCCCGCUUCGCGCGCGGACUCGCCCCAAAGACAUUGGCAGCGGUCGUGCCAGCCUCUCGCGCAGCACAUUUGCGCUUCUCGAGGCAGGUCGAUCCGCGUCCACAAAGGCACACAUCCACCGUUUGACCUCGGAUCAGGUAGGGAUACCCGCUGAACUUAAGCAUAUCAAUAAGCGGAGGA